rnacentral:rRNA from 1 species
AUUCCAGCUCCAAUUGCGUAUAUUAAAGUUGUUGCAGUUAAAAAGCUCGUAGUUGAAUUUCGGGAUCAAUAUAUCGGUCGUGCCUUGGUACGUACUGGUAUCAUUGGUUUCUCCUUUCUGACGAACCAUGAUGUCAUUAAUUUGGUGUUAUGGGAAGUUAGGACUGUUACUUUGAAAAAAUUAGAGUGUUUAAAGCAGGCUUUAGCUUGAAUACAUUAGCAUGGAAUAAUGAAAUAGGACGUUCGAACCUAUUUUGUUGGUUUCUAGGAUCAACGUAAUGAUUAAUAGGGAUAGUUGGGGGCAUUAGUAUUCAAUUGUCAGAGGUGAAAUUCUUGGAUUUAUUGAAGACUAACUACUGCGAAAGCAUUUGCCAAGGAUGUUUUCAUUAAUCAAGAACGAAGGUUAGGGGAUCGAAGACGAUCAGAUACCGUCGUAGUCUUAACCAUAAACUAUGCCGACUAGGGAUCGGAUGAUGUUAAUUUUUUAAUGACUCAUUCGGCGCCUUACGGGAAACCAAAGUGUUUGGGUUCCGGGGGGAGUAUGGUCGCAAGGCUGAAACUUAAAGGAAUUGACGGAAGGGCACCACCAGGGGUGGAGCCUGCGGCUUAAUUUGACCCAACACGGGGAAACUCACCAGGUCCAGACAUAGUAAGGAUUGACAGAUUGAGAGCUCUUUCUUGAUUCUAUGGGUGGUGGUGCAUGGCCGUUCUUAGUUGGUGGAGUGAUUUGUCUGGUUAAUUCCGUUAACGAACGAGACCUUAACCUGCUAAAUAGCUAGGCUUAACUUUGUUAGGUCGUCAGCUUCUUAGAGGGACUAUCGGUGUUUAACCGAUGGAAGUUUGAGGCAAUAACAGGUCUGUGAUGCCCUUAGAUGUUCUGGGCCGCACGCUCGCUACACUGAUGAAGUCAACGGGUUCAUUUCCUUUAUCGGAAGAUAUGGGUAAUCUUUUGAAACUUCAUCGUGCUGGGGAUAGAGCAUUGCAAUUAUUGCUCUUCAACGAGGAAUCCCUAGUAAGCACAAGUCAUCAGCUUGUGCUGAUUACGUCCCUGCCCUUUGUACACACCGCCCGUCGCUACUACCGAUUGAAUGGCUUAGUGAGACCCUCGGAUUGACGUUCAUCGGCUGUAAAAGGCUCUUGUCUGUUGAAGAGUUGGUCAAACUUGGUCAUUUAGAGGAAGUAAAAGUC